rnacentral:misc_RNA from 1 species
UCUACGCCCAGUAACGCCCAUCGCUGGUUCUCCCGCCGCUUCCUCGCCGCAGACGUUCCGCGGCAACCAACUGGACAAGCAGGCCCGGUCCGGUUUCACGACGUCGCACAACGACUCCGUCGAAACCCGCGUCUAUACUCCCAGCAUCGCGGAGGGCUCCACGUUUUCACUCACACGAAGAGCGCCACUGACGUUCCUCCUCUUCGUCGCGUCCGGGAUCGCGGUGAUCUUUUACGCGACUUUCGAGAACCGUUGAAUCGUCGAUCGAGGACUCUAAAGUAUGUGAGAGUGCAUCGUAUCGAGAUAAUAUAGCGAGGACUUUGAAAGGAUACGCUCCUUGCGCGGGCUCGCUCGAUUGUCGAUUAAAUACAGGGAUACCAACUGAAGAUUAUCCGUGCCACAGAUGACUAUCGAAUUCGGAUUCGAGGUACUUUGUGGUGUGAUAUUGUCAGAGAGUCGACGGGAAAAAAUAAACCGAGGAUGAAAGCGGGAUGAAAUAUGGAUAACUACUCGUAAGUAGCCUGCCAGCUGUCCGUCGGAAUGAAGAGUGAGGUUAUGGUUUAGCCGGUGACAGACGCUGAUGUAACCGUCAGAAGUGUGAUACCGCGAAAGAGAAUUUGUUAAACGGAAGAAUAAUCUUAGGAUUGUUACGUCAUGCCAUCCUACUCAUUCAUCAUGUAUGUUAAAAAGAAGUCUUGAAGAUAGUGACUAAGACAGAAAUCUGAGGAUGACGUCGUUCGUCGAUGCUAGACAGAAACUGAAUACUUCCGUAAGGAAGGAGAAGGCAUCAUGAAGACACGGCCUACGAAAGUUUCAUCGUGAUCGAACCGAGGGAACUGGGUCUGUCAAUGAGCGAGGUGGGUGUCUUCUCUCAGAAAAAAAUGUCGAGUACAUCCCCGGCGCCACCGAUGGAUCUGGACACCGGGUCGGAAUCGGAGACUAGGUCGAAUCACCUGAUCUCGCGGCUGGAUCAGGAUCCGGAGGAUGCGGAGAAACGUGAUCGGGCGCGAAGAACGGAGUGCAGCAACGCGGACAGCGACUGCGAGAGCGACACGAGCGAGGUAUUGAGCGUAGGCAGUGAACCAACGCCGACCAGCGUGGUCGGGAUGCGUGUAUGCGGGACUAUGAGGUACCACGAUCAGGAAUCCGCGAGUUCCGGUCGCGGCGAGUUCCGGGACGAGGAAAACAUGAGAACGUCGGAGACACCGUCGCCGGCCAGCUCCACCAGCUGCCACGACCUGUAUUAUCAGCGCGCAUCAAGUAAUCACGUGUCGGCACCGAGUCCGCCCGGUUACAGUCAGCCACCGUCAUCUCCUACGGCGUCUUCCGUCAGAUCCCCAGCUUCCUCUUCGGCCACCGCCUCGUCGCCCGGUCGGCCGGAGGCGAUUCAAGAGGCUAUCGUACCCAGGUACCAAUCUGGUCAUCAGCAACAUCUAUUUUCCCGAUACUCUUCCAGGGAAUCUGAGAUCUCCGAUUAUCCACCUCGGGUCCAGCACAAUAUUGGUCACGAGAUCAUUUAUCCUACCGUAGAGAGGUUGCACCGUACGCACGUAAGCGUAUCAUUGGUAACGAGACUCUCGUUGUCACCGCCGUCGGCCAUGACGGUCGCCGGACUCCAGGCGACAACACCUGGCGUUCUUCAUCCCGCCGCCUGUAGAGAUCCACGGGAGACUGCUACGUUGAUGCCGCAUCACAGCCAGCAUCUGCACCAUCCCAGUCCUCACACGCACCUACAGCAAGGCUCGCAGGUGCAGCAUGUGCCGGCGAAUCCAGUGCACCAGCAUCGACUCUCGGUUAACAAGCUCCUGCAGCGAGACCCAGGAAGCCCGGUAUCGCCAACCGGCACCAGGGAGGAGAACGGAAGAACUCCGGCUGCGAAUGGUAUCGUGCCGAAUAGUAUCGGCAACAACGGCAACCAUCAUCACAACAAUCACAACAAUAAUAACAAUCUGCAACAUCAGGCGGGCCUGAAGUUUAGCAUAGACAAUAUUUUGAAGGGGGACUUUGGCAGGAGAAUCACGGAUCCGAUCUCCCUGAAAAAGUCUCGACCUAAAAAAGUGUCGUCGAGGCCGAUCGAUUUGACGAAGGACUUCCUGGAAUCGUCCUCCGACGCGUCCGAGAGGAGCAGCUCGGAGCCGACGACGACGACGACGACGACCAACGCAUCCCCCACCGGAAUUUCGACCGAAAACACGACGUCCAAAGCGACCGGAUCUACCGGGACCGAUCCUGGGAAGAUGUUGUGGCCUGCGUGGGUCUAUUGCACCAGAUACUCGGAUCGGCCUUCCUCUGGACGAAGUAAGUAACGACCCACGGCGGUUACGAGCCGUGCUCGGGCUAAGACGAGACUAAUGACGAAAUGGCAUCGGGGAACGUGAGCUUUUCUGAAAGAAGCCAUUAUUACGCUUAUUGUGUCCGCGCACGAGAAGAGUGAAGAGGACAGACGGACGUGGCGGCGGUACUCCCGAAGAGAAACGUCCUAGGACGGCGUUUAGCGGAGAGCAGUUGGCGAGGCUGAAGAGGGAAUUCGCGGAGAACCGAUACCUGACGGAAAGACGGAGGCAGCAGCUCUCGAGGGAUCUGGGCUUGAACGAGGC